CGCUAUCACUCCUACGGGGAGGCAGCAGUAGGGAAUCUUCCACAAUGGACGAAAGUCUGAUGGAGCAACGCCGCGUGAACGAUGAAGGCCUUCGGGUCGUAAAGUUCUGUUGUAAGGGAAGAACAAGUGCCGCAGGCAAUGGCGGCACCUUGACGGUACCUUGCGAGAAAGCCACGGCUAACUACGUGCCAGCAGCCGCGGUAAUACGUAGGUGGCAAGCGUUGUCCGGAAUUAUUGGGCGUAAAGCGCGCGCAGGCGGCCUCUUAAGUCUGAUGUGAAAGACCCCCGGCUCAACCGGGGAGGGCCAUUGGAAACUGGGAGGCUUGAGUAUAGGAGAGAAGAGUGGAAUUCCACGUGUAGCGGUGAAAUGCGUAGAGAUGUGGAGGAACACCAGUGGCGAAGGCGACUCUUUGGCCUAUAACUGACGCUGAGGCGCGAAAGCGUGGGGAGCAAACAGGAUUAGAUACCCUGGUAG
rnacentral:rRNA from 1 species